AGCGAACGCUGGCGGCAGGCCUAACACAUGCAAGUCGAACGAACUCUUCUGUGUGAGUGGCGGACGGGUGAGUAACAUGAUGGAACGUGCCUUUGUGUUCGGAAUAACUUAGGUAAACUUGUGCGUAUACCGAAUGUGCCCUUCGGGGGAAAGAUUUAUGGUCAUUAGAGCGGCCCGCGUCUGAUUAGCUAGUUGUUUAGGUAACGGCUCACUAAGGCGACGAUCAGUAGCUGUUCUGAGAGGAUGACCAGCCACACUGGGACUGAGACACGGCCCAGACACCUACGGGAGGCAGCAGUGGGGAAUCUUGCGCAAUGGGCGAACACCUGACGCAGCCAUGCCGCGUGAAUGAUGAAGGUCUUAGGAUUAAAAAAUUCUUUCACCGGGGACGAUAAUGACGGUACCCGGAGAAGAAGCCCCGGCUAACUUCGUG
rnacentral:rRNA from 1 species